rnacentral:rRNA from 1 species
AUUGAACGCUGGCGGCAUGCCUUACACAUGCAAGUCGAACGGCAGCACGGGAGCAAUCCUGGUGGCGAGUGGCGAACGGGUGAGUAAUAUAUCGGAACGUGCCCAGUCGUGGGGAUAACGUAGCGAAAGCUACGCUAAUACCGCAUACGAUCUAUGGAUGAAAGCGGGGGGAUCGCAAGACCUCGCGCGAUUGGAGCGGCCGAUAUCAGAUUAGGUAGUUGGUGAGGUAAAGGCUCACCAAGCCGACGAUCUGUAGCUGGUCUGAGAGGACGACCAGCCACACUGGGACUGAGACACGGCCCAGACUCCUACGGGAGGCAGCAGUGGGGAAUUUUGGACAAUGGGCGCAAGCCUGAUCCAGCAAUGCCGCGUGCAGGAUGAAGGCCUUCGGGUUGUAACGUAGCUUUUGUUACGGU